rnacentral:lncRNA from 1 species
UUCAUGCUUUCAUCGUAUGCCCCUGUGAUCUCUGCUGAGAAAGCCUACCACGAGCAGCUCUCCGUUGCUGAAAUCACCAACACUGCAUUCGAGCCUUCAUCCAUGAUGGUGAAGUGUGAUCCUCGCCACGGGAAGUACAUGGCCUGCUGCCUGAUGUACAGGGGUGAUGUCGUCCCCAAGGAUGUGAAUGCAGCUGUUGCCACAAUCAAGACCAAGAGGACCAUCCAGUUUGUUGACUGGUGCCCAACUGGUUUCAAGUGUGGUAUCAACUACCAGCCACCAACUGUCGUCCCCGGUGGAGACCUGGCCAAGGUGCAGAGGGCUGUGUGCAUGAUUUCCAACUCAACUAGUGUUGCUGAGGUCUUCUCAAGGAUUGAUCAUAAGUUCGACUUGAUGUAUGCCAAGCGUGCUUUUGUGCACUGGUAUGU